AGGAGAGUCGUUCCGCCAAGACAGAUGUUAAACGUCAAAAGGACAAACACAAAAAGAGACCAGUCAGUUUCAGAAGAGACAGAAAUGCCUCACGACGCCAUGCUUCGAUUGGCAGAAGGAGUUCUUCCAGUUCGGCGACUCUCUUUGCCAUUCCUUCCAAGUCACCGUCACCUUCGCCUUCGCUGACGCUAAUGCUGCUGUGAGUAACAUCCCGAGAAGACAUUCCUUCGAUCAUCUGUCUCCACAAAACACACUGUCACAACCUUCACAUUGGUAUGAGUUUUCCAAAGAGAAACAUAAUAUUAAUCCUUAACAUAGAAUACAAACUUACACCCGAGCCUUGAUGGUCGAGAGAACUAACGUCUAUAUCGUCUCUGGAAAAAUCCUCAUCGGACUGAUCUCCAUGAUUACUGUUCGCUCCGUGAACUCGAUUAAACCUCUCCGCCUUGUACUUCUCCAGCUGUAAUUUACGAAAUGAAUUUACAACUCUCUGAACUCGAACUAAUGGCUGAAUAUUUUACUUUAGGUUCAUAGAUUCCCAAGUUUUUAAUUCUUUAACAAAAUAAUCUACAGUACAGGACGCUUCCACUAAAACUAAUUGUAAUAACAGCUGCGACUAUACCAUUCCCCAACUCGACGAUGAGGUUAACCAACGUAUGAUAUAUAUACUAUGCUUAAAAUUGGGUCCACUUAAA